rnacentral:rRNA from 1 species
AGCUAAUACUUGCUUUAGCACUCUUGAUUAAGUUCUUGAGUGUGUACUUGUUAAGCCUUUUAAGAAAAAAGUUAUUAACUUAAGGAAUUAUAACAAAGAAGUAACACGUAAUGGAUCCGUCCAUUUUUAGUGUGUACCAAUCGAGUUUCUGACCUAUCAGCUUUUGAUGUUAGGGUAUUGGCCUAACAUGGCUAUGACGGGUAACGGGGAAUUAGAGUUCGAUUCCGGAGAGGGAGCCUGAGAAAUAGCUACCACAUCUAAGGAAGGCAGCAGGCGCGUAAAUUACCCAAUUCUAAAGAAGAGAGGUAGUGACAAGAGAUAACAAUACAAGGCCAAUCUGGCUUUGUAAUUGGAAUGAUGGGAAUUUAAAAUCUUCCCAAAACUCAAUUGGAGGGCAAGUCUGGUGCCAGCAGCCGCGGUAAUUCCAGCUCCAAUAGCGUAUAUUAAAAUUGUUGCAGUUAAAACGCUCGUAGUUGAAUUUCAAAGAAUCGAUAUUUUAAGUAACGCUUUGUAGAUUAAUCCACAUAACUGAUACUAUGUAUCGACUUUGUGCGCAUUUUUCUACUUAUGUGUUCUUUUAAUUAAAAUGAUUCUUUUUAAGAUCUUUCUUUUUUGCUUCGGCAUUUUAGGAGAUCUUGUUACUUUGAGUAAAUUAGAGUGUUCAAAGCAAACAGAUUAUAGCAUCUUUAUGCGUUUGAAUACUACAGCAUGGAAUAACAAAAUUGAACAAGUCAGAAUUUUGUUCUUUUUUCUUAUUUUGGCUUAGUUACGAUUAAUAGGAGUAGCUUGGGGGCAUUUGUAUUCAGAUGUCAGAGGUGAAAUUCUUAGAUUUUCUGGAGACAAACAACUGCGAAAGCAUUUGCCUAAAAUACUUCCAUUAAUCAAGAACGAAAGUUAAGGGAGUGAAGACGAUCAGAUACCGUCGUAAUCUUAACCAUAAACUAUGCCGACUAGGCUUUGGAUGAAAGAUUUUAAAAUAAGAGUUUUUUCUCUGAGGAGUUAAAACUCUUAGAUUGCUUCCUUCAGUGCCUUAUGAGAAAUCAAAGUCUUUGGGUUCUGGGGCGAGUAUUCGCGCAAGCGAGAAAGUUAAAAGAAUUGACGGAAGGGCACCACCAGGCGUGGAGCUUGCGGCUUAAUUUGACUCAACACGGGAAAACUCACUAGUUUAAGACAAGAGUAGGAUUGACAGAUUGAGAGCUCUUUCUUGAUUUCUUGGAUGGUGAUGCAUGGCCGUUUUUAGUUCGUGAAUAUGAUUUGUCUGGUUAAUUCCGAUAACGAACGAGAUCUUAACCUGCUAAUUAGCGGCAAAUACGAUAUAUUCUUACGUGGAAUUGCAUACUUAUGGUUUGUCUCUAUUGAGCCGCAUAAUAAUGAAGGAUCGUGAUUGCUUUUCGUGUCAAUCUUUCUUAAUCGAAUCGUUGAUGUGUUUUGUAUAUCUCGUUCUUUCAUUACCUUGCAAUCACUCAUUUGCCUUAUCAUACUGUUUCUCUUUUGCGUAAGAAUGUAUUUGCUUGAUUGUAAAGCUUCUUAGAGGAACGAUGUGUGUCUAACACAAGG